CAUGCUUCAGGAUAUUGAGACACUAUCAUUUUUCCUUCCAAUGACUUUGUCUCCAUAGAGUUAUAUAUUUAUAGGAAACUGUAUGUUUGCUCUAAACAGAUGUUUGUGUUUGUUUACUCUGUUGACAUAGAGAACACUUAGAAAUUUUGAAUAAUUUCAAUGUUAAGAGAUGGCAUUGACCAAUAGUGAGUAGCAUUAAAGCAUACUGUAAGUGCCUAAUAAGUAGCAUGUAUAAAGUCACAAAUUUACUUUUUCUGAAACUAAGGUCCAUUCUUCUUGUUUUCUUAUUAGCUUCCAGUAUUUUCAGAAAGAAAUAAAAAAGAACUAGAGAAAAUCAGAACAGAGACUAUUAAAAUAGUUUUUCACUUCAUUUCCCCACAUCUUAGAAAGGACUAAAGUCUUUAUCAGACCAGUGUGAGAAGAUUAUGUCCUGUCUGAAUGUAACCAGGCCAGGAAAAUAGCCACUUUCUGCUUAGUACUUGUUCGCAACUUCAUAAUCAAAAAGAUGAUAUUUACCAUUCCUAAGCUCUUCAAAGAUUUGGAGGAUAAAGGAAAACUUUUAUAAUAAUCUCUUUAGAAUAGAUUUUCAUGUGAAGGAAGGAGAGAAUCAUUAUUAUGAAUUUUUUUUUGCUUUUAACAACAUAGACAUUGAUACUAGUAAAAAAAAAAAAAAAAAAAAACAAAUAUUUUCCUUAAAUAUUUACGAACUGGAACAUGGCAAGUUUGUCAGAAGAAAUCUCCUGUGUCAUCUGGUCCAAUCCCUUUAUCUCCUAUGAUGCAUGUGAAGAAACCCAGGAAGAUAGGAAUUCCUCCCAAAGUCCUGUAGUAAGUUGAUAGGCAGGCUGACCCUUGAACAGAAUUCUUUGGACUCAUGACAAAUGUUAUUUUCAUAGGAUAACUGGUUGCCUCUAGGUGAGUGGGUAAUUGGUCCUUUUCUUUCUGGGACUUCCUGCUGUUUUCUGUAACAAAUAUCAUGUUUUUAUAGUUAAGGAUGUUGUUGAUGAAAACAUGGAGAUGAUGCUACGGUCAGAGCUUCUUUCUGGUGUGUUCUGAGCUGCUGAAGACUGAUUCACUGAGGACCGAACCUCAGAAAUUUCUCAGGUUGUCAUGACAAGUUGGCUGAGGGGCCUCCAAGAGCUGCAUGACAGAGGAUUACCACAUUAGCUAAGUGUCUUUCUGAAAUCCAGAAGCUUUUGAUUUUUCUCUAUUGAAGUAGAUUCUCACUUCAGAAAUAGUUCUCUUUUCAGAUAAAUUUGCUGUAGAAUAGGAGUAAAGAAUGUUACUAAGAGAGUUUUUCUCUAAAAAUCUUUCAUAUAUUUAUACAAAUGAGAGAAUCCAAAAUAUUUAGAAGAAGUAUUUUUUUCUGACUUAGCAAAAAAAAAA
rnacentral:lncRNA from 12 species